CAGAGCAGCACACUCCCUUGGACCACCCAGGCUCUCACUUCCUUCCCACUGACAGCAGUAGCCACUGAUUCACCUGGCUCAACAACUAAGGAUACCACUAGGCCAAGCAGCACCACUGGAGGGACCAUAUUCCCCGGCACCACAAAAUCUGACACCACUCUUUCUCUCACAACUGUUCCAGCCACCACACCAUCAACUACUACUCCAUUGAUAUGCUUAAAUGGAGGUACUUGGAAUGGAACCUCCUGCAUCUGUCCCAGUGGUUACUAUGGAAAGCAAUGUGAGGGGAAGAAAAUUGUGUGCGAGAAUGAUGGCAUCUGGGAUGGAAUCAAAUGCAUCUGCAAUGUCCUCUUCUACGGCCCUAAGUGUGAAUAUGUUUCAGAAAGCCUUCCAAUAGGCUCUCCUCCAGAAAAAGUCAAUGCUACGGUGAAAAUGAAAGUGUCUGUGACUAAUAUAGAAUUUACG